GACGAACGCUGGCGGCGUGCUUAACACAUGCAAGUCGAACGGAAAGGCCCUGCUUUUGUGGGGUGCUCGAGUGGCGAACGGGUGAGUAACACGUGAGUAACCUGCCCUUGACUUUGGGAUAACUUCAGGAAACUGGGGCUAAUACCGGAUAGGAGCUCCUGCUGCAUGGUGGGGGUUGGAAAGUUUCGGCGGUUGGGGAUGGACUCGCGGCUUAUCAGCUUGUUGGUGGGGUAGUGGCUUACCAAGGCUUUGACGGGUAGCCGGCCUGAGAGGGUGACCGGCGACAUUGGGAGCGCGAUGCGGCCCAGACUGGUAGGGGAGGCAGCAGUGGGGGAGCUUGCAGACUGGGCGGAAGCCGGAUGCAGCAACGACGGGUGCGGGAAGGCGGCCAUGUGGUGGGAGACCGAUUUCGCAGGUGACGAAGCGUGAGGGACGGGAAUGGGUAAAGAAGCAACGGCUAACUACGUG
rnacentral:rRNA from 1 species